GCCUACCAUGCAAGUCGAGCGGAAACGACACUAACAAUCCUNCGGGUGCGUUAAUGGGCGUCGAGCGGCGGACGGGUGAGUAAUGCCUAGGAAAUUGCCUUGAUGUNGGGGAUAACCAUUGGAAACGAUGGCUAAUACCGCAUAAUGCCUACGGGCCAAAGAGGGGGACCUUCGGGCCUCUCGCGUCAAGAUAUGCCUAGGUGGGAUUAGCUAAUUGGUGAGGUAAUGGCUCACCAAGGCGACGAUCCCUAGCUGGUCUGAGAGGAUGAUCAGCCACACUGGAACUGAGACACGGUCCAGACUCCUACGGGAGGCAGCAGUGGGGAAUAUUGCACAAUGGGCGAAAGCCUGAUGCAGCCAUGCCGCGUGUAUGAAGAAGGCCUUCGGGUUGUAAAGUACUUUCAGUUGUGAGGAAGGGGGUAGCGUUAAUAGCGCUAUCUCUUGACGUUAGCAACAGAAGAAGCACCGGCUAACUCCGUGCCAGCAGCCCGCGGUAAUAC
rnacentral:rRNA from 1 species